UACGUAGGGAGCGAGCGUUGUCCGGAAUUACUGGGCGUAAAGGGUGCGUAGGUGGCUUGGCAAGUCAGAUGUGAAAUCCCCGGGCUUAACUCGGGAUCUGCAUUUGAAACUGCUUGGCUUGAGUGCAGGAGAGGAAAGCGGAAUUCCUAGUGUAGCGGUGAAAUGCGUAGAUAUUAGGAGGAACACCAGUGGCGAAGGCGGCUUUCUGGACUGUAACUGACACUGAGGCACGAAAGCGUGGGGAGCAAACAGGAUUAGAUACCCUGGUAGUCCACGCUGUAAACGAUGGAUACUAGGUGUGGGGGAGAUACAACCUCCGUGCCGCAGCAAACGCAAUAAGUAUCCCGCCUGGGGAGUACGGCCGCAAGGCUGAA
rnacentral:rRNA from 1 species